UACGAAGGGGGCUAGCGUUGUUCGGAAUUACUGGGCGUAAAGUGCACGUAGGCGGAGUUGUAAGUUGGGGGUGAAAUACCGGGGCUCAACCUCGGAAUUGCCUUCAAGACUGCAAGUCUGGAGGACAGGAGAGGCGAGUGGAAUACCGAGUGUAGAGGUGAAAUUCGUAGAUAUUCGGAGGAACACCAGUGGCGAAGGCGGCUCACUGGCCAGAUACUGACGCUGAGGUGCGUAAGCGUGGGGAGCAAACAGG
rnacentral:misc_RNA from 1 species